GGUGUCCUCUCGUGACCUGGCCGUUGAGAAGCGACUUUUGCUUCCCCCGCUCUCACCCCCAAUUUCUGGGGGCGGCACACGCAGCGCAAAGAGCACCCCGAGAUUUGUAGUCCUUCCCAAAACAAGAACGUCGGUCUCCCUGGGUCGGAUGGGGAAGAGCGAACUACAACUCCCGUGAAGCGGUGCGCUCGUUCCGACCAACACCGGCGAGGUGUUCAAUGAGAAAACGGGCCUGGGGGGCGUUUGAAAUCGACCCACAGAUAUCCGAUGUUAUAUUAUACUUAAUGAUGUAAGAGCAGGACAUUUCUGUUGCAGCUCGGGGCAAUGUGAGGAAGUUUCUAAAACCAAAACAGCCCAGCGGAUCCGAACCCGUUUGCUUCACAAUCUUAUCUGCAAAGUUCAUUUAACUUGACAACUCAAAGUACCAGCUGCUGGAAGUUAUGUUCCUCACUACCACUGGGAAUACCCAAUUCGGCCUGUCGCGGAAUGUUAACCAGUUUCGGUAACUCAACGAACUUCAGUUUUGAUGAAUAUUCUAUUCUGUCACUACGCCAGAAUACUUCCUAGGGAAAGAAACAGAUGUACUAGCCUUCAGAUCGAAAGAACUGCAUCGGGAUCGUAUUUCAAUGAGCAUUUCACUCAAAAUCGCAGUUUUUUUUCCCCCUGAUGAAGGGUCCAGACCCGAAACGUCAGCCUUCCUGCUCCUCUGAUGCUGCUUGGCCUGCUGUGUUCAGCCGGAUCGACACCGUAUUAAAAAUCACAGGACUGCAUUUGCUGGAGCUCUGAAACAAACCGAAAUCGCUCGAGAAACCCAGCAGGUCGGGUAGCGUCUGUGUAGAAAAAAAAAAGUGAAUGUUUCGAGGCCAGUGUUAAGACGAAGGCUUACUGGACUCGAACGCUAACACUGUUUUCUCUGCAUCUCUGCCCCGAUACCGCUAGACGUGAUAUAGCCAAGAACUCAAGAGGCUAGAGAAGAAAUUAUAGGGGCCGUGGCUGAUAUAUUUGCAUCACCGUUAGCCACAGGCAAGAUCCCAGAAGACUGGAGGAUAGUGAAUGUUGUGCCCUUAUUCAAGAAGGGCUGCAAAGAAAAACCUGGGACUUACAGACCACUAAGCUUAACAUCUGUGGUAGCUCUCGACGGAAGUGCACAGGAAAUUCCACUUCAGGAUCAUGCUGAAAAUUUUUUUUUGAAUAAAAGGCAACAAAUUAAGAGAUGGGAUUGAGAUUCAUAUCCCAACAGAACUUGGAUCAAUUCAAAAACUGAGCUUCCAUGAAGACUUAAACUGAGGAAACCAUGAAUUCACAUUCAAGACUGCUUUUGGGCUUUGAACAUUUAAGUUGGGAAUGGAUAUCUGUGAUUGAUAGCAACUCUAAUCAGGUUGAUCAAUUCUAUCACGCAUGACUGGAGCAAGUGGGGAACUUGAACCUGUGCCUCCCAGUGCAGGCUUAGGGACACUACCACUGCCUAAUGAACCAAUUAAUAAAUAGCAUUCAAUUAACUUCAUUCUUUAGUUUUCACUCAGAAGUCUGCUAAAUCAAUUGAUGCAAGAUAUCCAAAUAAUGUGAUUUUCUUAGAUUUCCAACAAUUGAGUCACAAAAUUUAGCGGUGUCAUGAAAAGAAAAAUAUUUCCAUUUGUGCAGCAACUUUCAUAACCCCGGAACUUCAAAACUCUACAAUGUACUUUCAAAAUACAUUACAAAAGUACGCCAUUGUGGGAUCAUAAUAUUUACACCUCAUAGCCAAUUUGCAAAUAGCAUGAUCCUAGCUGAUGAGAAACCAGAUCCAGAAUGAAAUCUUAUUUGAUAUAUUGUUAUUAUUUAAUGGUGGUCUUUCACUCAAAUCUGGUUUCAAUAAUGAAACAGAAGAUUAUACAAAAUAAGAGGUAAUAGACCUACUUAACAGUUGAAGAUUUUUGCACAUACAGGAGAGGCAUUCUAUCCUAACAGCAGCCCCAUUACACUACUUAAAAUUCCCUUCUCUAUCACAUGUAUACAAAUAGAGAAAAGAGUAGGCCAUUUGGCCCUUCAAACCUGCUCUGCCAUUCAAUACCAUCAUAGCUGAUAAACCAACUCAAUAUCCUACUAAGAUAAUAAAAUGUGAGGCUGGAUGAACACAGCAGGCCCAGCAUCAUCUCAGGAGCACAAAAGCUGACGUUUCGGGCCUGGACUCUUCAUCUCUCACUUUCUCCCAAUACCCUUUGAUCCCUUUAGCCCCAAGUAUAUAUCUAACUAGCUUUUUUUUUGUUUUGAAAUCAUGCGAUGUUUUGGCCUUGACUGCUUUGUGAUAGCAAAUUCCAUAGGCUCACCACUCUGAAGAAAUUUCACAUCUCAGUCCUAAAUGGUUAACCCUCCAUCAUUGGGCUCCAUUGGACUUCACUGUUAUCAGAAACAUCCUUCCUGCAUCCAACUUGUUUAGUCUUGUUAGGAUUUUAUAGGUCUGAGAUUCAGUGCCUAACAAACAGAUUAGUCAAGAUAGCAUCAGCAUUCACGAAGUCAAAUUCUUCAGUUUCUGAUGGACCUUAGCAUACCAGUAAGAUGCGAAUCAGUUUUGCUAACAGGAUGGUUACUAAAUUAAUUCUUCCACUAUUGAACUAGAUUGACCACCCCCAGGCACAGUAGUUAGUGAUGUAGUAAAAUAGCAAACACAAACAAUGGGCUUCAAAACCAAAGCAAAUAGCAUUCCCUCAGCAAUUUUUGCGACAAAUUGAGGGGUACAAGGACAAAGAAACAGUGAUAAGUCAAAACAGACAUCUGUAUGAUUUCACCAUGAAAACAAGUAUUGUAAUCAAGAUCUCAAUGUUUUGGAGCAAAAUCCUGUAUGUACAAAAUAGGCUUUACCUUUUAAAAAGCUAGUACGGUCUUGUCACGCCAAAAUGGGUACGGCUACUAUUACUGUAACAGUACACUAAUAUGAAAAAUAGGCCUCUGGAGCCAUUUCUGCUGCUGGCAGACAAUUAAAAACUAAUUACAAAAGAGAACUACAGCAUAGGAACAGGCCCUUUGGCCCUCCAAGCCUGUGCCGAUCAUGCCCUGACUAAACUAAAAAACACCUUCUGCCCUUAUUCAGUCUGCAUCCCUCUAUUCCCUCCCUAUUCAUCUAACCAUCCAGAUGCCUCUUAAAUGUCAACUUGCCUGCUUCUAAUACCACCUCUGGCAAUGCAUUUGAGGUUCCACCACUGUGUGAAAAACUUUCCUCACACAUCUCCUUUAAACUUUGCUCUCUCACCCUGAACCUGUGCCCUCUUGUAAUUGAGAAUUGAACCCUUGGUAAAAGCCAGACUAUCUUACUCUAUCAAUGCCUCUCAAUUUUGAGGACCUCGAUCAGGUUCACCUCUUAGCCACCUUCUUUCCAGUGAAAACAAUCCUAGUCUUUUUAACCUUUCCUCAUAGUCAAAGCCCUCAAGAUGGGGCAACAUCCUGAACCUUUUCUGCACUGUCUCCAAAGCUUCAUGUCCUUUUGGAUAUGUAGCGACCAAAACGGCACACCAUACUCCAAAUGCAGCCUAACAAUGAUUUUAUAUAGCUACAUGUUUUGCCAACUCAUAGUCCAAGCCCCAGCCAAUGAAAGCCAUUGUGCCAUAUACCUUCUUAAUGACUUCAACUACCUAUAUUGCCACUUUAAAGGGAACUGCAGACCUGCACACCUGGAUCUGUCUGUAUGUUAAUAUUCCUAAGGCCUCUUCCGUUAACAGUAUAAUUCACACCUAAAUUUGAUCCUCCAAAAUGCAUCACCUCACAUUUGCCUGGAUUAAUCUCCAUCUGCUAUUUCUGUUCCUAAGUUACCUAUCUAUAUUCUGUUGUAUACUUUCACAAUCAUCAGCACUAAUCAGCCACUCCAAUCUUUGUCAUCUGCAAACAUGCUAAUCAGACCCACAUUUUCCUCCAAAAUCAUUUAUAUAUACACACUACAGAGGACCUAAGACCGAUCCCUGUGGAACACUAGUUGCCAGCCUCCAGUCUGAAGAACACCCUUUCACCGCUACCCUCUAUCUUCUAUGACCAAGCCAGUUUUGUAUCUAUCUAGCCAGCCCACUCCAAAUCCUUGAUUUUCGUUUUUGUACCAAUCUGCCAUAUGAACUACAUCCACAGCUCAUCCCUCAUCAAUUAUCUUUGUCACCUCUUUUUAAAAAAGAAAAAUUGAUCAGGUUGGUGAGGCAAGACCUUCCAGUCAUGAAACCAUACUGCCUGUUGCUAACCAGUCCAUUUUCUUCCAAAUGUGCAUAUAUCCUGUCCCUCAGUAUCUUUUCCAAGAGCUUCCCAAUCACAGUUGUCAGGCUCACCAACAUACAAAUUUCCCGCAUUAUCCCUGCUUCCUUUAAGCAAGGGAAAACAUUGGCUAAUCUCCAGUCCUCUGAAACCUCACCUGUGGUCAAGGAGAGGUUAAGGUAUCUGCUAAUGCCCCAGCUAUUUCUUCCCGUGCCCCUCUCAGUAAUCUGGGACAGAUCCUAUCUGGCCUUGGGGACUUGUCUACCUUAAUGCAAUUUAGGAUACCCAAAAACUUCCUCCUUUAAAACAGCGACAUUCACAAGUGUUCACAUACUCAUCUCUGACCUCAACAGUCAGGUCCUUCUCCUUUAUUGAUUACCGAUAAAAAGUACUCAUUGAGGAUCUCUCCCACUUCCUGUGGUUCUAUGCACAAGUCCCAUCCUUUGUCCUUGAAGGGGCCUACUCUUUCCCUUUCUACCCUCUUUCUCCUAUUAUAUGCAGAAAAAGCCUUGGGAUUCUCCUUGAUAAUACGGUGUGAAG